rnacentral:rRNA from 1 species
CAGUAGCCGCGGUAAUACGUAGGUGGCAAGCGUUGUCCGGAAUUAUUGGGCGUAAAGCGCGCGCAGGUGGUUUAAUAAGUCUGAUGUGAAAGCCCACGGCUCAACCGUGGAGGGUCAUUGGAAACUGUUAAACUUGAGUGCAGGAGAGAAAAGUGGAAUUCCUAGUGUAGCGGUGAAAUGCGUAGAGAUUAGGAGGAACACCAGUGGCGAAGGCGGCUUUUUGGCCUGUAACUGACACUGAGGCGCGAAAGCGUGGGGAGCAAACAGGAUUAGAUACCCCGGUAGUCCCUGUCUCUUAUAU